AUACGAAGGGUGCAAGCGUUACUCGGAAUUACUGGGCGUAAAGGGUGCGUAGGUGGUUCGUUAAGUCUGAUGUGAAAGCCCUGGGCUCAACCUGGGAAUUGCAUUGGAUACUGGCGGGCUGGAGUGCGGUAGAGGGUAGUGGAAUUCCCGGUGUAGCAGUGAAAUGCGUAGAUAUCGGGAGGAACAUCCGUGGCGAAGGCGACUGCCUGGACCAGCACUGACACUGAGGCACGAAAGCGUGGGGAGCAAACAGGAUUAGAUACCCUGGUAGUCCACGCCCUAAACGAUGCGAACUGGAUGUUGGGUUCAAUCAGGAACUCAGUAUCGAAGCUAACGCGUUAAGUUCGCCGCCUGGGGAGUACGGUCGCAAGACUGAA
rnacentral:rRNA from 1 species